rnacentral:rRNA from 1 species
GACGAACCGAGCGAACGUUGUUCGGAAUCACUGGGCUUAAAGGGCGCGUAGGCGGGUGCUCAAGUCCGGGGUGAAAUCCUCCAGCUCAACUGGAGAACUGCCUCGGAUACUGGGUGCCUCGAGGGUGGUAGGGGUAUGCGGAACUAUCGGUGGAGCGGUGAAAUGCGUUGAUAUCGAUAGGAACUCCGGUGGCGAAGGCGGCAUACUGGAUCACUUCUGACGCUGAGGCGCGAAAGCCAGGGGAGCAAACGGG